rnacentral:tRNA from 1 species
GAGAAUUUAGUAAAAUUAUUUAUAAUAUCACUUUGUCAAAGUGAAGUCAAAGGUGAAAACCCUUUAAUUCUUA